rnacentral:lncRNA from 1 species
AGGAGAUUGAAGAGAGGGAUUAACUGGUAGCAUGUGUCCAUAAUGCUGUAUAUCCAAGAACUUUUAUUUAUUAUAUUUCCCUAGAGUAAAGAGUUCCAAACUGGACCAGUGGCUCAUCAUGAGGAAGUGAGGAAGUUGAAAAUGUUUCCAGUCUUCAUUGGUCCUGAGGUCACAACUCAGUUCACUAGAUCCCUGCCAAACUCCAGAAAAUGGAAGGGAGUAAGAAAUCAUCCCUGUCAAUGACAGACUUCCAAGCAGAUGGAUUACUAAAUUGGAAAGAAGAUUAGGAGAAUGCUGAAGAGCCUAAUUUACAUGGAUUUCAGAAAAUUAUCUGGCAGUCUCUCAUGCUCUCCUUGUAAACAUAUUGAAGAUAACACAGAAAUUGUCAUAUUCACUCCAAUCUUCACCAACCACAAUCAUAAACAGCAACCUUCAACAAUGAAGCAAGACCCUCCACUAGCAAGAAGAUUAUAAUUGUUGAAAGCUCAGCUGAUGGGUUAGUGUUCUUUUUAGCAAUAAAGUAUUUUUAAAUUAAGGUUAUAUGCA